rnacentral:rRNA from 1 species
GACGAACGCUGGCGGCGUGCUUAACACAUGCAAGUCGAACGGAAAGGCCCUGCUUUUGUGGGGUGCUCGAGUGGCGAACGGGUGAGUAACACGUGAGUAACCUGCCCCUGACUGUGGGAUAACUUCAGGAGACUGGGGCGAAUACCGGAUAGGAGCUCCUGCUGCAUGGGGGGGGUUGGAAAGUUUCGGUGGUUGGGGAUGGUCUCGCGGCUUAUCAGCUUGUUGGGGGGGUAGUGGCUUACCAGGGCUUUGACGGGUAGCCGGCCUGAGAGGGUGACCGGCCCCCUUGGGCCUGCGGUACGCCCCAGACUCCUACGGGCGGCAGAGGUGGGGAAUAUUGCACAGUGGGGCGAAGCCUGAUGCGACAGCCCCGCGUGCGGAAUACCGGCCUUCGGGUUGUAAACCGCUUUCGCAGGUGCCGAACCGUGCGUGACGGUACUUGGUAAAGAAGCCCCGGCUAACUACGUG